GCUGGCUGUGACUGGCGUAUAUAUUGUUUUAUGUUUAUAAAUUAAUCAAAAAUCUAUUUUAAAAAUCAAUUCGAACACGAAUAAUUAAUUGCAAGCGACAGUUCCAAAAACAGUCUUGUGGCUGACGUCUCUCUGACACACCCAAAUGUAUUUUGGAGCAUUAUUGAAAAGCCAAGUCAUUCAUUUGUGACCUAUCUUUCGCUGAGACGACUGCUUGAUUCUCUCGCGAGAUCUGGCAACCUCGAGUUAACCCCCAGCAGGAGCGUUUCGCUGGUUUGGUCACUUUUCCUGAUCGACGGCUGGUGCCUUUGGUUACUGAGUGUCGCCACACAACGUGGCAGGCGACGUGGACCCCUCUGCUCCCGGGGACGUGCUGGACACAAUGGUCGUUCGGGGGGAAGCAGUCAGCUCCGUGUCUUACUGCAGGAGCAGAAGCCUGCCUUCAGCCCAACUGACAUCAUCAUCCUCCCCGUCGGAGAAAUGGCCACCAUAGAAGAUUUCCUCCUACAAAUGGAUUAAAUAGAUUGCCUUUUUCCUGUAUCAGCAUGAGUCCAUGGAAAGGACCCUCUGUGGAGCUUGAACUUCUGUCUGUCUGCCUGCAUUGUGCAACAUGAGUAAUACUCAAUGCAUAUCAAAACCCAUACACAACAAACCACAUCAUAUCAUCGAAAAUCUGUUACAUACACAAUCAUCUCUCAGAACUGUCUACAUUUAUUGCAAAUAUGCAAAACACAGGCCUUCAUUACUGUUGGUAAACCAAGUGACGGAAUUAUGUAAUUCUGACAGUGGGUCCAGGAACAGAAUAAGCAGCUAGAGCAACACAGUUGUCCUCAUGAAGUUCUGUACUGUAUCACAAGGGGGCGAUAGAUAAUCUUCCAUAAUGCCGCACUGAUCAAGUUGCCCCAUUUUUGUAUUCAUCCAAAUCACUUGCCAGAGCACACAGAUUACUGAACCUCUGCAUGGUCCUUUAUUGGUGUAUAGAUACAUACAUACUUUAUUGAUGCUAAAGGGAGAUUUAUGCAUUGUUUAGACAUUAAUAGAGGUAGCGUACAAGAAAAGUGAGUGCAUAAAUGUGCACAAUUAACCAUGUUUUAUGUGUACGGAGCUGAAUCCGCAGUUAACAGCGUAGUCAUAAUGAACUAGAUUUAACGAAGGACAUGAAAAAGUGGUGCAUGUAAAAAGCUACUCAAAAACUCACACUUGUCUGCAGUUACUCUGACAAAAACUUAUCAUCUUUAAUUAGAUUGGGUUUUAAAAAUACAGCUUUCGAUUCAGAAUCACAUUAUUCUUGUAUGUGUACGUACAUGGGAUUUUCGGUUCAGAAUUGAUUCAUGCACACAUACAGAGUAUUCAUAAAUACCCAAGAAAAAAAUCUAUUUAUAUAGAGAGAGGGACUGACAUAAGUUGAAGUCGCGCUUUAUUGUCAUUGCAGCUACAUACAUGUUAGACAGUACAUAGUGAAACCAAACACCGUUUCUCCGGAACCUGGUGUUUAAACAACGUCACAUAGCGACGUGAAGUGCACGUGUGCGACACAGACAAACUGGGCUACGUAAAGUGCAAACAGGAGACAGAGGCAGUGCAAGAAUAACAUUUAACUAAAAACAUGUAGACAACAAUUCGACAGACAUCGCUAAACAGGUGAAAUGAAUAAUAAAUGUGCAAAGUAAAAAUUGUGCA
rnacentral:lncRNA from 1 species